GUUCUUAGGAGAGUUGGACACAUUCAAAACACAAUAUGUGAUUAAGAAGAUUAAAGAUUAAUACUUAUUGAUGGAUUACUGUGUGCCAAACUUCCAACCGAAUCCUGACAAAUCCAUAAGAUGUGGAAACCACAGUUCACUGAGGUUGACAUUUCCGGGUUCAUACAACAAGGAUGGGCUAUGUGAAGAUUGUGCCUGCUUCCCCUUUGCCUUCCACCAUGAUUUCAAGUUUCCUGAGACCUUCCCAGCAGCAGAAGCCUAUACAGCCUGCAGAACUUUCUGGAGACUGGCAAGUCCAAGAUCAAGGUCCUGAUUGAUUUAGUGUCUGGUGAAGACACUCUCUGCUUCAAGAUGGCACCUCUUACUGCAUCUUCACAUGGUAGAAGAGGCAAUUAAGGGGAACAGCACUGUGUCCUCACAUGGCAAAAGAUAAGGAAGGGUCAGGAAGCUCUCCAAAACUUUUUUUAGCCCUCAUGAUUUCAUCACUUUUUCAAAGGCCUCACCUCUUCACAUUAUGACCUUGGAGUUUAAGUUUCAGCAUUUAAAAGCAAUCUGCAUCUUUCCAUUAGGUCAGAAAUAUUACAAUUGUUUUCCACCAGCAGGCCAGGAAACUAGCAAGGUCUUCAUACAUGCAAGGCCUUCUACUUCACCCUGGAGUAUAGCCAUUCUUGACAGGCUUUAUGUUGGCCAAAAAUAACAUACUAUCCAGUGGGAAGAUAAGUACAACAACUUCCUCAUGACCAGCUGUUCACUUAUGCAACUGCAGCGCAAGCGCAGCCUCCUAUCAAUGUGAUAAAAGAAUAAACUAGGGACAAAUUUUGGUAUUCACAUAUUACCACAGAUGUCUAUCUCCUCUAUCUUAUGUUGACAUCCGUGAUGGCCUUUCUGAAUAACUCAGGGCAUCAGAGGGUUGCUCUCUCCCGCAAGCCAAGAUAACGUUGGCAAACACAUCUGUAUAAUGUGUGCACUGGGCACAUUUCCUUGUUGAAUUAUUCAAUUAAAUCUGAUAAUGAGAGCACAUUGACAUAGUUAAACACUCAGGUGAAUAAAAGAUUCACUUUGAAGUGC